UACAGAGGUCUCAAGCGUUGUUCGGAUUCAUUGGGCGUAAAGAGCUCGUAGGCGGCUUGUCACGUCGGGUGUGAAAGCCCGGGGCUUAACCCCGGGUCUGCAUUCGAUACGGGCUGGCUGGAGUGUGGUAGGGGAGAUCGGAAUUCCUGGUGUAGCGGUGAAAUGCGCAGAUAUCAGGAGGAACACCGGUGGCGAAGGCGGAUCUCUGGGCCAUUACUGACGCUGAGGAGCGAAAGCGUGGGGAGCGAACAGG
rnacentral:rRNA from 1 species